rnacentral:rRNA from 1 species
CCUACGGGAGGCAGCAGUGGGGAAUAUUGGACAAUGGGGGAAACCCUGAUCCAGCGACGCCGCGUGAGUGAAGAAGUAUUUCGGUACGUAAAGCUCUAUCAGCAGGAAAGAAAAUGACGGUACCCGCAGAAUAAGCCUCGGCUAACUACGUGCCAGCAGCCGCGGUAAUACGUAGGAGGCAAGCGUUAUCCGGAAUGACUGGGCGUAAAGGGUGCGUAGGUGGUUUGGCAAGUUGGUAGCGUAAUCCCGGGGCUCAACCUCGGUGCUACUACCAAAACUGUUGAACUUGAGUGCAGGAGGGGUGAAUGGAAUUCCCAGUGUAGCGGUGGAAUGCGUAGAUAUUGGGAAGAACACCAGCGGCGAAGGCGAUUCACUGGACUGUAACUGACACUGAGGCACGAAAGCGUGGGGAGCAAACAGGAUUAGAUACCCCGGUAGUC